UGGAAAUGAUGUAACCAGAUGACGAGUCUUAUUCGGGUUCUCCCGAUGACGAGACAAUUUCUUUAAAUUCCAUUCAUGCCAAUCUGAUC
rnacentral:snoRNA from 1 species